AUUAACAAAACCCCAAUAACAACAAGUUUCUGUCAUAAGUUAGUAUUCAUGAAGAACUAAAGGGAAGUCAUGCUCCAAUAUAUAAACAUUAUCCCCAAAAUUACUAUCAUGAAACCAUCAAACACAUGAAACUCCAUUAAGACAUGAAAAAUAAUACAAGAUGCAAAUACGAAUGCUUCUGUAAUACACCUGCAUUAUGGUCCUCCUUCCAAGACCAGUAAACUAGUCCACAUUAUUCUCUCGCACUGAGACCCUUAAGUUGCUUUUCUGUUGCAACAAUUCAAACAAAUUGUCACCCAAAAUACACUUUCAUAAUGUAUCUGUAUCAUAACUAUAACACUGCAAUUUCUAGGAAACCUUUGCAACUAGCAACAUAAUACUUUAUUAGUUAAGAUGAUCUAAACAUAAAUACUUUAAUUCAUAUUCCAAAAAGUACCUGAAUCAACCAAUGUCCAAGAACAAAUAUCUUAAACAUGAUCAAAGCUCCCACUGUUCUGCAGUACCAAAAAUUUCCAGCACUUCCAUUUUCCUUGUAUGUUUCUUCAAUACUGCCACUGGAAUGGCCUUGUUCAACGGAUCUGCAAUCAUAGAA
rnacentral:lncRNA from 1 species